UUGUUGGUAAGGUAAAAGCUUACCAAGGCUUCGAUCAGUAGCUGGUCUGAGAGGACGACCAGCCACACUGGGACUGAGACACGGCCCAGACUCCUACGGGAGGCAGCAGUGGGGAAUUUUGGACAAUGGGGGCAACCCUGAUCCAGCCAUGCCGCGUGAGUGAAGAAGGCRUUCGUUGUAAAGCUCUUUCAGCCGGAACGAAACGGUUACGGAUAACACCCGUGACUACUGACGGUACCGGAAGAAGAAGCACCGGCUAACUACGUGCCAGCAGCCGCGGUAAUACGUAGGGUGCGAGCGUUAAUCGGAAUUACUGGGCGUAAAGCGUGCGCAGGUGGUUUUGUAAGUCAGAUGUGAAAGCCCCGGGCUCAACCUGGGAACUGCGUUUGAAACUACAAGACUAGAGUGUGGCAGAGGGGGGUGGAAUUCCGCGUGUAGCAGUGAAAUGCGUAGAGAUGUGGAGGAACACCGAUGGCGAAGGCAGCCCCCUGGGUCAACACUGACGCUCAGGCACGAAAGCAUGGGGAGCAAACAGGAUUAGAUACCCUGGUAGUCCAUGCCCUAAACGAUGUCAACUAGUUGUCGGGCCUUUACGGGCUUGGUAACGUAGCUAACGCGUGAAGUUGACCGCCUGGGGAGUACGAUCGCAAGAUUAAAACUCAAAUGAAUUGACGGGGACCCGCACAAGCGGUGGAUUAUGUGGAUUAAUUCGAUGCAACGCGAAAAACCUUACCUACCCUUGACAUGUAUCGAAGCCCGCAGAAAAGCGGGGGUGCCCGAAAGGGAACGAUAACACAGGUGCUGCAUGGCUGUCGUCAGCUCGUGUCGUGAGAUGUUGGGUUAAGUCCCGCAACGAGCGCAACCCUUGUCAUUAAUUGCCAUCAUUUAGUUGGGCACUUUAAUGAGACUGCCGG
rnacentral:rRNA from 1 species